ensembl:lncRNA
AGUGGAUUAUUGCAGGGAUUUUAUCUUGCAGUAAUCUCCAGGGAGAAAUGUACAAACAGCUGGGAGAGCAAGAAGGAACCGCAUUGUGUGGCAGGAGUUUGUGGAGCAGAAUUUUAGAGUGCUGGAGUGGAUCUCAAUACCAACAUGAAUCUUUUCUGUUUUUCUCUGGAGGGCUCGAUGGACAGCCUGUAUGAGCCUGUCCCAGAACAACAGGAAGCCAAGGAUGCAGCUACUCUUGAAAGUCAGGCUGGCACUCCAGCGAGCACACAUGGAAACUGUGGGCCACCUGACAGGUCUAUCUCUUUGGGGUAUUAUGGUUGUCAGCUUCCUGGGAGCUAUGGAUAACUGAAGAACUGAAGCCUCCUGAAAUCAGG